rnacentral:rRNA from 1 species
GUGGGGAAUCUUAGACAAUGGGGGAAACCCUGAUCUAGCCAUGCCGCGUGAUCGAUGAAGGCCUUAGGGUUGUAAAGAUCUUUCAGGUGGGAAGAUAAUGACUGUACCACCAGAAGAAGCCCCGGCUAACUCCGUGCCAGCAGCCGCGGUAAUACGGAGGGGGCUAGCGUUGUUCGGAAUUACUGGGCGUAAAGCGCACGUAGGCGGAUUGGAAAGUUGGGGGUGAAAUCCCGGGGCUCAACCCCGGAACUGCCUUCAAAACUCCCAGUCUUGUGUUCGAGAGAGGUGAGUGGAAUUCCGAGUGUAGAGGUGAAAUUCGUAGAUAUUCGGAGGAACACCAGUGGCGAAGGCGGCUGACUGGACAAGUAUUGACGCUGAGGUGCGAAAGCGUGGGGAGCAAACAGGAUUAGAAACCCUUGUAGUCC